GGGUGAGUAACACGUGGAUAACCUACCUGGAAGUGGGGAACAACCUGGGGAAACCGAGGCUAAUUCCGCAUGCGCAUGCACUCCUCAAGGAGUGCCUGUAAAGAUGGCCUCUUCUUGAAAGCUGUCGCUAUCAGAUGGGUCCGCGGCUGAUUAGCUAGUUGGUGGGGUAACGGCCUACCAAGGCUGCGAUCAGUAACCGGCCUGAGAGGGUGAUCGGUCACACUGGAACUGAGACACGGUCCAGACUCCUACGGGAGGCAGCAGUGGGGAAUAUUGGACAAUGGGCGAAAGCCUGAUCCAGCAACGCCGCGUGGAGGAUGAAGGCCUUCGGGUUGUAAACUCCUGUCUGGUGGGACGAAAAGACUUCGGUCAAUAUCCGGAGUCCGUGACGGUACCACCGAAGGAAGCCCCGGCUAACUACGUGCCAGCAGCCGCGGUAACACGUAGGGGGCGAGCGUUAUUCGGAAUUAUUGGGCGUAAAGGGCGCGUAGGCGGCCCGACAAGUCAGGGGUGAAAUCCCUCGGCUCAACCGAGGAACUGCCUCUGAAACUGUCGGGCUU
rnacentral:rRNA from 1 species